UUGGCGACCGGCGCACGGGUGAGUAACACGUAUCCAACCUGCCGAUGACUCGGGGAUAGCCUUUCGAAAGAAAGAUUAAUACCCGAUGGCAUAGUUCUUCCGCAUGGUAGAACUAUUAAAGAAUUUCGGUCAUCGAUGGGGAUGCGUUCCAUUAGGUUGUUGGCGGGGUAACGGCCCACCAAGCCUUCGAUGGAUAGGGGUUCUGAGAGGAAGGUCCCCCACAUUGGAACUGAGACACGGUCCAA
rnacentral:rRNA from 1 species